AACGAACGCUGGCGGCAUGCCUAACACAUGCAAGUCGAACGAGACCUUCGGGUCUAGUGGCGCACGGGUGCGUAACGCGUGGGAAUCUGCCCUUCGGUUCGGAAUAACUCAGGGAAACUUGAGCUAAUACCGGAUAAUGACGUAAGUCCAAAGAUUUAUCGCCGAAGGAUGAGCCCGCGUAGGAUUAGCUUGUUGGUGGGGUAAUGGCCCACCAAGGCGACGAUCCUUAGCUGGUCUGAGAGGAUGAUCAGCCACACUGGGACUGAGACACGGCCCAGACUCCUACGGGAGGCAGCAGUGGGGAAUAUUGGACAAUGGGCGAAAGCCUGAUCCAGCAAUGCCGCGUGAGUGAUGAAGGCCUUAGGGUUGUAAAGCUCUUUUACCCGGGAUGAUAAUGACAGUACCGGGAGAAUAAGCUCCGGCUAACUCCGUGCCAGCAGCCGCGGUAAU
rnacentral:rRNA from 1 species